UGCGCAUGCCCAUAAACUGGUUCAUUCGCAUAUCUCUUCUACUUUCAACAUGGCGCCAGCUAUGAAGUUGCAAAGAUUUGUAGUGAUGAUUUUCUUGAUGGUAGUAUUCCAGAUAGUUACAGUGGACGGAAUGAUGGAAGGCAGUGGAGGCUUCUUUUUGCCUAAUACUGGAAUGGGGUCAUUGCAGGAAAUUCUACCAGAGACAGAUAGGCCUGCUGAAGAUUUCCCUAUGAAUAGAUCAACACAGGCUACCAUCAGACUCAGGUGAAAAUAUGGAUCAUCUCAAUCAUCUGAAUAAAAAAUAUUGCAUUGUGAAGAGUUACCCAUAGUUUGUUUGAGAAUAAUGCCAUACUUUGUCCUAUUUAUCAUAUGAAUAAAUUUAUUGUUAUGAUAUGCAUAUCAUUAUACAUAUCAUAUUGGUAAUGUUCUCAGAAUUGUAAGUUCAGAGACAAGAGAAAUAAACCAAUCACAAGCUGUGAUACAUCAUAACCACAUCUAACUUUGAGAGGAUCUGGAUUAUCCCGGCAAGAUUAAAAGAAGAGAUAAUAUAUUUGAUCAGAAUGACAAAGUGUUGAAUAAGUCUAAUGAGUGCUCUUUGGAGGCUGAUGAUGUAAUAUCUGAAAUUUUUAAUCUUUUAUGAUCCAAUGUGUCAGAUAUUCUGAUACAUCAUCAAAUUGUUAUUUCAAAUUCUUCUGCAGAUAGAGAAAAUAACAAU